UACGUAGGGUGCAAGCGUUGUCCGGAAUUAUUGGGCGUAAAGAGCUCGUAGGCGGUCUGUCGCGUCGGCUGUGAAAACCCGAGGCUCAACCUCGGGCCUGCAGUCGAUACGGGCAAACUAGAGUACUGCAGGGGAGACUGGAAUUCCUGGUGUAGCGGUGAAAUGCGCAGAUAUCAGGAGGAACACCGGUGGCGAAGGCGGGUCUCUGGGCCUUACCUGACGCUGAGGAGCGAAAGCGUGGGUAGCGAACAGG
rnacentral:rRNA from 1 species